rnacentral:lncRNA from 7 species
CGAAUUAGAAUGUUGUGAGUCAACAGUUCCAACUCCUAGAAAGUUAGAUAUGAACUACUAUAACCUAAGCAAAAACUUGGCUAGUGGUCACAAUAGCACACAAAAAAAUGAGUAUACAGAGAAACUUAUGGCUCUACCAUCGAACGCUGAUCAAACACCAUGUCACCG